rnacentral:pre_miRNA from 1 species
CAAAUACUCCCUCCGUCCGGAAAUACUUGUCAUCAAAAUGGAUAAAAGGAAAUGUAUCUAGACAUAUUUUAGUUUAGAUACAUCUCUUUUUAUCCAUUUUGAUGACAAGUAUUUUCGGACGGAGGGAGUAGAAA